GAAGACUGCUGAGGAAUUUUUGAGAAUGUUGGCUUUGUGCUGUGCCCAAGUGACCAGAGGAGUGAAAUGAAGACAAAUGGCAGUAAAACAAUUCCAGAGAGCUGCCACAAUGCAUUCUCCUGCUGGGAAGUUACAGCAUGACUGUGCUCAGACCUCUGCUGGAUGAUGCCCAG